AGACAGGAGGAACUGGAAUUAUAAGAGGCAAGGCCUUCAGCUCAGUUGAGGGAGAGCUGGGGGAGGAGUCAGAUGCUGCUGCCAGCCUCUGAACCAGGGACCAAGCUGUAUCAACCCCUGCCUCUGGCGGAAUAUAAGGGGAGCUGCCACUCAGCAAAUAUCCCAAGGAGCUGCUGGAACUGUCAGUUGCCAAGUACCCCAAGGAGCCUGAGGGCCUGUGAGCACUGAAGCCCUACGGACAGCAAAAGAGUCAGAGAUACAGUUGAAGAUGGAAAAGAUCUACAAGAGUCUGCUCAGCACUGCUGGGGUAAAUGUGUAAAGUCAAAAAUUAAAAAGAAUAAACCAUACAAAUUUGAAGGAGGAGGUGGAGGAAGCAGCAGAGAUGGAAGAAGAGGAGGAACAGAAAGAAAUAGUUUACUGUGUCAAAAUGAUUCAAAUAGCACUUCAGGUCAGAAUUUUGUUAAAGGAUGCUGGUAAGAAUUUAAUUCUAACAAUAAGAAUUAUGUACACCCUACAUCCGGUGCACUUGGGAACUUUGAGCCCUGACACAAACCCAGAAAGCAUUGUUGUGUAUUGUCCCCAUGCAUCCAAAGCCAUCAAUAACCUCCUGAGUAUUGGCAAGCAUUAUUGCCCAGUACCACAGUAACUUCUGCAUGACAGCACAUGCCUUCAUGACAACAAUUGACAAAUUGGUUGGCUACAGACUAGUAACAGUCAGGGAUGGUCAGCUUCCAGGUUGCAAUGGAGACCCACUUAUCAACAAGUAUGGGACACUGCAUGUUGGUACACUGCCAUUGUAGCUCUGAGGCUAGUUCAGCAAUGAUCUCAAAAAAAGGUUGCCUUUACCAUCCUGAAUUCUGUUACCACUGCUGCUCAUCCUGGCUUUGAAGAACAAUCCUCUGCCACCAGCUGAUUCUGGUUUUCUGAGCUGAGAAAUGGCACUGCACUUUGUGACCCUUAAGGAGAGCUUGUGUAGUAGCAGUUGCAUGGUAUCCUUCUCCUCCUCCCUCCACUGUUGCUGCUAGAGGAGCCACUGCUAUAGCCACAUGAGUGCAGUGGUGCAGCAGUUGAAGUCCAAGACCAAAGCCACCCAGUGUCAGCUAAAGCCCCAACAGCCUCUGCAUAUUCACACAUCUGACAGCAUAAUGGCACAGAGCAUUGUUGCAUCCAUGCUGGUUGACAACAAUUCAAAAAAUGGCACUAGCCUGCCUAGAAAGAAAGGAAGCAUGGGACAAAGGGAGCAGAAUCAUGGGAGUUUUGACGUUUGACCCUAAGUCCCAGAAUUCCACUGGCUUCUGGUAUGCAUCCCACAAUGCAUAGCAAGAAAAAUCCCGCAAUGCAUACAGCUCUGCAGUGAAGCAAAUGACCAUGAAAUACUUGGCAGACAUGCCAUAUGCUUAGUGUGCACCAAAUCUCCAUCAUCUGUACACACUGAUGUGAAUUGAAAGAGGGCACAGCUGCCACAUAUACGUGCUAUUAGUGCGGCUUAUGUAUUGCACAACAACUAGUACAUGUCAACUGAGUGUGAACUAUACCACCUGCAUAAACAAGCCCUUAGAUACAGUACUGGUUUCUAAUGGAAUUUAGCUACACAGCAAAAGUCACCAUUAUAAUAGUCAACCUAUUUUGUAGUUCAGGAGAGGCCAAGGAUGGAAUAUGCACAAUAAAAUAUAAUUUUAAGUGUAAAAGUGGUUCCAGAAGGCCAGGGCUAACAAAAUGAGUGGAUGCUUUCAUAUGAAAUCAACUUAGCACAAGACCAGAACCAGGUUAACAAAAGAAACAUAAGCACAGAAUUCAUGGCCCCCACAGAUUUUUUUCCCCUGCAGAAUAAUAGAUUCUGCCAUGGAGACAGUGCAAUUACACCUUUCACCCACCAGGGGAUGUUGUGGCACCAGAAGAGGAGGCAGCUGGCUCAUCACUGGAGUAACCAGCCACAGAGAGGGAGGGGGGACUUUGGUCUUGCCCCCCCCCCACUUCUACAAAG